rnacentral:rRNA from 1 species
GCGCUUAAUUGCGCGGCGAAAACCUUACACACUUGUUUUUCUUAUUUGAAACUAUUGCUUUGGUCUGUCUUAGAAAUAAGUUGGGCCAAAGGUUUACACCAAACUUCAAUAUUUAUAUUGAAUUGUUAUUUUAAUUAUUGUCAAUUUGUUGAUUAAAUUCAAAAAUCUUCAAAACUUUCAACAACGGAUCUCUUGGUUCUCGCAUCGAUGAAGAACGCAGCGAAAUGCGAUAAGUAAUAUGAAUUGCAGAUUUUCGUGAAUCAUCGAAUCUUUGAACGCACAUUGCGCCCUUUGGUAUUCCAAAGGGCAUGCCUGUUUGAGCGUCAUUUCUCUCUCAAAUCUUCGGAUUUGGUUUUGAGUGAUACUCUUAGUCAGACUAAGCGUUUGCUUGAAAUGUAUCGGCAUGAGUGGUACUAGAUAGUGCUAAACUGUUUCAAUGUAUUAGGUUUAUCCAACUCGUUGACCAGUGAAGUAUUUGUUUAUUACACAGGCUCGGCCUUACAACAACAAACAAAGUUUGACCUCAAAUCAGGUAGGACUACCCGCUGAACUUAAGCAUAUCAAUAAGCGGAGGAA